UGGGUGACACACUUCCUUUAGCAAGGCUGCAC
rnacentral:piRNA from 1 species